UACGUAGGGGGCGAGCGUUGUCCGGAUUUAUUGGGCGUAAAGAGCGUGUAGGCGGUUCGGUAAGUCUGUCGUGAAAUCCUGAGGCUCAACCUCGGGCGUGCGAUGGAUACUGCCGGGCUAGAGGGUGGUAGAGGCGAGUGGAAUUCCCGGUGUAGCGGUGAAAUGCGCAGAUAUCGGGAGGAACACCAGUAGCGAAGGCGGCUCGCUGGGCCACACCUGACGCUGAGGUGCGAAAGCGUGGGAGCAACAGG
rnacentral:rRNA from 1 species